AUACGUAGGGGGCAAGCGUUAUCCGGAAUCACUGGGCGUAAAGGGUGCGUAGGUGGUUUCUUAAGUCAGGAGUGAAAGGCUACGGCUCAACCGUAGUAAGCUCUUGAAACUGGGAAACUUGAGUGCAGGAGAGGAAAGUGGAAUUCCUAGUGUAGCGGUGAAAUGCGUAGAUAUUAGGAAGAACACCAGUGGCGAAGGCGAUUCUCUGGACUGUAACUGACGCUGAGGCUCGAAAGCGUGGGGAGC
rnacentral:rRNA from 1 species